rnacentral:rRNA from 1 species
GACGAACGCUGGCGGCGUGCCUAAUACAUGCAAGUUGAGCGCUGAAGGUUGGUACUUGUCCCAACUGGAUGAGCAGCGAACGGGUGAGUAACGCGUGGGGAAUCUGCCUUUGAGCGGGGGACAACAUUUGGAAACGAAUGCUAAUACCGCAUAAAAACUUUAAACACAAGUUUUAAGUUUGAAAGAUGCAAUUGCAUCACUCAAAGAUGAUCCCGCGUUGUAUUAGCUAGUUGGUGAGGUAAAGGCUCACCAAGGCGAUGAUACAUAGCCGACCUGAGAGGGUGAUCGGCCACAUUGGGACUGAGACACGGCCCAAACUCCUACGGGAGGCAGCAGUAGGGAAUCUUCGGCAAUGGACGAAAGUCUGACCGAGCAACGCUGCGUGAGUGAAGAAGGUUUUCGGAUCGUAAAACUCUGUUGGUAGAGAAGAACGUUGGUGAGAGUGGAAAGCUCAUCAAGUGACGGUAACUACCCAGAAAGGGACGGCUAACUACGUG